rnacentral:lncRNA from 1 species
GUUUAUCCGUUUAUGUCGUAAAGUAAACGUAAACUCGUAAACAAAACCUUGCGGUUAAUGUUUUGGCAAUGGGAGCUUGGGAUGAAGAAGUUGUGCUGUGUUUCUUUCAGUAAAGCAAGAUUUGCAUAGAAAGGUGAAAUAGUUUAUGAAUAAUUUUACGACAAGAAGCUGAAAAAUGAUACUACGACACACUUUGACAUGAGUAUCUGAAAUUCCAGUGAACCAGUCAGUUCACCAGCAACAGCUUCUAGUCCUGGCAAAAAGCCAGAAAACAAUGUACGAAGAAACAUCAACAAUUUAUCGUUUCAGGAGACCACAACAGAUCUGUGCAUCACACAGGGUACAGGUUGUAGAUAAUGUAGAAGAACUGGAAAAGAAAUAGAAAUUGGUUGCUCUAGUACUGCUACAUCAUUCACCUUAGGGGCCAUAUUAGGGAUUAAUUAUUCGGCAAUUUUUCCGCAAUUAGAUGGCGCGAGUGUCUUCGUUACUCAAGACGAAAUUGCGCCAUUUCUUAAAACCUUGAUUGGAAACCAUCAAACCACAUGUUGAAAACGUAUCGUUGGAUUGGAUACUUAAUACGGCGUACUUAUCUUUCUUGACCCCAUUUUUAUUCGUAUUAAUGGUAUUUAUCUGGUAACGGCCUAUAAUUUCUAAAUGGCAAUUUCAUCUGAUCAUGUGGCCUCAGCAGCUGAACAUUUUGCCAAAAUGUCUCUUUUUCUUGUACCAGCUUCACAUUUGUCAGAAACACUUCAGAACAAUCCAGGAAUAACAUGCUGGUGGAGUUUGAGCUUCUUUGUUGCUGCCCAACGUAAAUAUGGAUUUGAAGCAGCCAUCUGAUAAAGGGUAUUCCUCUUGCAACCUGUACUGUUGUGUGUUUCAUCACAUGAAGAAACACUUAGCUACAAUUGAAGUUUAGCGUUUAUGUUCGCGUAGUUGCUGUCCGAUGUGGCACGUUGUUGCAGCCUAUGCUGGUGAAAGAUCUUUCUACAUCAAGUUCAAUUGGCCGUUCCUUGAUGCUGGUGUCGUGUUACCGAAGUUGCAUCAUUAUCUUGUUAAAUUGUCAUCGUGACUAUUGCAGUUUACCGUUUAUAAGUUCAGAGGCACAAAAAAAAACAAAACAAAUAUGGGAUGUUUAUGUCAACAAAUAAUAAACAUGUUUCCGGGAUUGGGGAAAGGAAAGUGGAGGAUGUUGGAGGGGGAGGGAGGAUAUUUAAAGUUUGGA